CCUACGGGAGGCAGCAGUGAGGAAUAUUGGUCAAUGGGCGCGAGCCUGAACCAGCCAAGUCGCGUGAGGGAUGACGGCCCUACGGGUUGUAAACCUCUUUUGCCGGGGAGCAACAGGCGCCACGUGUGGCGUCACUGAGAGUACCCGGAGAAAAAGCAUCGGCAAACUCCGUGCCAGCAGCCGCGUUAUUCCGGAGGAUGGGAGCGUUAUCCGGUUUUAUUGGGUUUAAAGGAUGCGUAGGCGGAUCGUUAAGUCGGUGGUAAAAUUGAGGGGCUAAACCCCUUCCCGCCAUUGAAACUGGCGUUCUUGAGUGGAAGAGAAGUAUGCGGAAUGCGUGGUGUAGCGGUGAAAUGCAUAGAUAUCACGCAGAACCCCGAUUGCGAAGGCAGCAUGCCGGCUUCCGACUGACGCUGAAGCACGAAAGCGUGGGGAUCGAACAGGAUUAGAUACCCCUGUAGUC
rnacentral:rRNA from 1 species